rnacentral:rRNA from 1 species
UACGUAGGUGGCAAGCGUUGUCCGGAUUUACUGGGCGUAAAGGGCGUGCAGGCGGUUUGUUAAGUGCAGAGUGAAAGCUCCCGGCUCAACUGGGAGAGGUCUUUGCAUACUGGCAAACUCGAGGGAGGCAGAGGAAAGUGGAAUUCCCGGUGUAGUGGUGAUAUGCGUAGAUAUCGGGAGGAACACCUGUGGCGAAGGCGGCUUUCUGGGCCUUACCUGACGCUGAGACGCGACAGCGUGGGGAGCAAACAGG